GCCAAAUUGUUAUUUCUCUCUCUCUCUCUCUCUCUCUCUCUCUCUCUCUCUCUCUCUCUCUCUGUAUGUGUGUGUGUGUGUGUGUGUGUGAGAGAGAGAGAGAGAGAGAGGUAGGGUGAGUGUGUAUGCUUGUCUGC
rnacentral:miRNA from 1 species